AACCUCCUUCGGGGUUUGGGUGAUUCGCCAUUCGGCGGAAAGUCCCAAUCGGCGGUAAAGUCCUGAGCGUAGUCGAAUGGACGAGUCCGCGAGUUCUGGUUGAAAAAUCGGGACACGACUGCGGUUUGAUUCCGCGACCGACCGUAUAGUCGGGAUGAAAGAGGGAACGG
rfam:Parcubacteria (Kaiserbacteria) bacterium GW2011_GWA2_49_19 TY44_C0015, whole genome shotgun sequence.